rnacentral:tRNA from 1 species
GGGGAUUUAGCUCACUGGUAGAGCACUUGCCUAGCAAGCACAAGGCCCUGGGUUCGGUUCCCAGCUCCU